GCAUUGGUAGCAUGAGUAAGGACGAAGCACCUUACCCUGCGACUGGCAUUCGGCUUCAGUCGGUUCAUAAAAGCAUUGUAUACAUGGAUCCACACAUUCGCCGCAUUGGUAGCAGGAGUAAGGACGAAGUACCUUACCCUGCAACUGGCAUUCCUCUUCAGAUGGUUCAUAGAAGCAAUUUAUGCACGGAUCCACACAUGCAGAACAGGCGUUACAGGUCUGUUCAACAUGAAUUUUACCCUGUUUGUCACAUUCCGCCUUACUCCAAUAUUUGAAACAUCGCACACAUACUGCAGGGCGCAGUAGAGGCUCGGCACUGGCAUUGACUACGAA